rnacentral:rRNA from 1 species
UACGAAGGGGGCUAGCGUUGUUCGGAUUACUGGGCGUAAAGCGCACGUAGGCGGAUAUUUAAGUCAGGGGUGAAAUCCCGGGGCUCAACCCCGGAACUGCCUUUGAUACUGGGUAUCUUUGAGUCCGGAAGAGGUGAGUGGAAUUCCGAGUGUAGAGGUGAAAUUCGUAGAUAUUCGGAGGAACACCAGUGGCGAAGGCGGCUCACUGGUCCGGUACUGACGCUGAGGUGCGAAAGCGUGGGGAGCAAACAGG